CAGCCGCCGCGGUAAUACGAAGGGUGCAAGCGUUAAUCGGAAUUACUGGGCGUAAAGCGUGCGUAGGCGGUUUGUUAAGUCUGCUGUGAAAUCCCCGGGCUCAACCUGGGAAUGGCAGUGGAUACUGGCAAGCUAGAGUGUGUCAGAGGAUGGUGGAAUUCCCGGUGUAGCGGUGAAAUGCGUAGAGAUCGGGAGGAACAUCAGUGGCGAAGGCGGCAAACUGGUCCAUAUCUGACGCUGAGGCGCGAAAGCGUGGGUAGCAAACAGGAUUAGAUACCCCCGUAGUCCCUGUCUCUUAUAC
rnacentral:rRNA from 1 species